AGAAACAUUAUUAUUUUUUCAUUGUUUUUUCAUUUUUAUUGAUUUUAUUUUAUUAAUUUUAGUCUGCCUGUCUCCUUGAUAUCCUUCUUCCAGCAGGUUAAGAACUUCCUAUUUGGAGAGUCCUUUGAAAACUAAGGUGCAGAUGAUGCUGAUCACAGGUUAUAUGGAAUAGUGGAUAGAUGGCAGUGCUCCCUGGUAUUUUGAUAUUAUAUAUGCUUUUUAAAUAUUUUUUUAAGGGGAAGCUCUUAUUCUUGGUUCCACAUAGACAUAUUCUGGAAGAAGUCUAUAGAAUCAGGAAAGAGGUGAGGUGAGGUCCCACCCCACCCCCCCGCCAACAAUCUUGAGCCGCUCAAAGGAAAGAGACAAUUUGCACAUUGAAGACGCACUAAGCUAGAGCUAUGUGCAAUUGCUCUGGCAAUAAGGAAACUGAUUUCCCUAAUGGUUUAUCUUUUCAGUGUUCAAAGAUGGAGCUGGCAGCAACACAGAACAAAAUCUACAACUCAUUUCUUUGUAUGGGUACAAAAAAGAUUUUUUUUUAGGUGGGAGAAGGAGGGAGAACGAGAGAUGGUAUGAAUUUUCAUUCUGCUAUUGUUGAGCAGGCUGUAUGAUGUGUGUGCAAUGGGCUCUGCUGCUGAUCGCUUCAGGUAUUUGCAAACCAAAUUUUUAGUGAUUGGUUUUGUCCAGUUGAGGGGGGGGGAGUGAAAACCAUCUACCUAAUAAGCCAGUCCUCCCCUGCCCCCAGCCUUCAUGGAUCCCUUCCUUCCCUGGCUUUGAUUUACGGGCAACUGUUUUGAUGAACGGCAAAGAGAGCUGGAAAAUCUUCUUCCAAGCCAAUUUUCACAUUUUAUGGGGUUCUGUGGAGGAGGUGGCUGCCACAGGGAGAUAAGGAUUCUAAUUUUGUAAUUGAGUACACUCUGAAAAGACAAUUAAGGAACUAAUGUGAUAAGUGAUUGUAAAUUAUAACAGCAGGGAGAAAUCCGAUUCACAGUCCUUCAUGAAAAAUGGUGGCAGUGCACUUCAGCAGUGCAUCCUCACUUUAUUUCCCCAAAUGUAGGUAUUGCUUAUUAAAAGAUAAGCAUUCUUCUUUGGAUUGAAGGGCAAAAACUACUUCCCAACCCAGAACCACACACACACACCAGUUAGGGAGUUGGAUAGAAGUUGUAGUCUCCAGAAGUGCUUGGACUACAAGUCCCAUCAUCCCUGACCAUUGGCCAUCUUGGCUGAGGCCAAUGGGAGUUGAAGUCCAACAACAUCAGGAGGGAUACUGGUUGCCAUACUUGUAUUAUAAUUUUGCUUGGAUCUCUGGAAAGAACUCCUGCCCAGAGUUAGAGGAAGCAUAAGAGGUGUUAUGGAAGGAAGGGAGUGAAAGGUCUUCCCCACUUCCAUUAUAGAUCAUCUUGAAGUAGCAAAUUCUAUAAGUCAACUUGGUGCUGUUUGAAGUAUGUACUUCCUGAGUCUGCUAUGGAUAUUUCCCACCAGCAUAAGCUCAGGGUAGGGAUUUGCAUGAAAACAUACAUAUUCAGAGAAAAAGUCAGGGCGGCCUUUAAAAUAAAAAGCAAAGUGAUGUGGAAAUGUAGAGAAUCAAACUUCAGAUUGAGAAAAUGUGAGAAACAAAAACUGGUAGAUUCACCCAUCACUAACUCAGGGUUCUAGUAUUCUGUGAGGUGGAUAAAAGCUCUAUCCGCUUCCUCCACACAAUGGCUAAUUGUAUACACCUUUAUCAUGCCCCCAUUCUCCUCCCACCAUUCGCUUCCCAAAACUAAAAAUCCCCAUAUGAGGUAACCUUUCAUUUUCAGGGGAGUUGCUCCAGCUCCCCUUCCCCAGCCCAAUAAUUUUGGCUGUCCUUUUCUGAACAUUUGAGUACACAGAAAGAGUAUUUUAUUCCAUACACCCCCAUAUACAGCUUUUAAAUUGAACCUGACUUCUGUUGUCCCAGGUUUCCGUUUCUAGUUUCUGAUUCGUCAUUUUUCAAUGAUUGUGAUUGAUGCUGUUUUCAGCAUUGUUUUGCUGGAGUAUUUAUUGGCUCUUUGCUUUGUUAGCCAUCUCAGUUUUUAUAUGUGUGUGCUCGCGUGUAUGUAUUUAUAGUUAUAAAAUCAUCAAUCAGCAUUCUAUGUAAGCUUCCUCCGGAUCAUUUUAGGAUCUGAUUAAUUGCUAAAAUAAUAGACAUUAUUAUGAGUUUGGAGGAGUUAAACUGAUUGCCAGACCCCUCUAAUUCAUGGAUCCAACAAGUAUUAGAAUUUAAGCAUGGCUUCUAAUUCUUGGAAUAGCUGGCUAGCCUGGUGACAUGAUAGCCUGGGAGAUAGCCUGAGCCUAAUUAUGGUGGAUAAAGGGUCUCGAUGCAAUGCAGCAAGUGGGCGUGGCUCCUUCCUUCAAGUCAGAGUUUAGAGUGGAGAGUUUUAGGGGUGUGAUGUGACCUAGAAGGAAAGCAGACAGCUGGAGAGAGAGCAAUGGUUGAUUUCUGUUUGAAUCCAAGGCUGUAACUAUGGGAGAAACAAGACCCUUUGGGAUGUUGAUGCUGAACUCCUCCAUCACAGGAGCGGGUUGUACAUAUGUGUAAAUAAACCAUAUAUCCCAAAGACACCACAGUCUCCACAGUGCCUCAUUCCAAAAAGGAACAUGAACCCUGGGUAAAUGCCUGGAAUUUCACACUGCUUGGAGAUUGUGGUAACUGAGGUCCAGCUCCGAGGGCCUUCUGGCGGUUCCCUCACAGUAAGAAGUGAGGUUACAGGGAACCAGGCAGAGGGCCUUCUCGGUAGUGGCGCCCGCCCUGUGGAACACUCUCAUCAGAUGUCAAGGAGAUAAGUAACUAAACAACCUUUAGAAGACAUCUGAAGGCAGCCCUAUUUAGGGAAGUUUUAAAUGUUUGUUUUUAAUAUUCUUUUGGGAGCUGCCCAGAGUGGCUGGGGAGACCCAGCCAGAUGGGCGGAGAAUGAAUAAAUGAAUGAAUAAAUAAAUAAAUAA
rnacentral:lncRNA from 1 species